AUUGAACGCUGGCGGCAGGCCUAACACAUGCAAGUCGAGCGGACGAAGCGAGGUUGCUCCUGGAUUCAGCGGUGGACGGGUGAGUAAUGCCUAGGAAUCUGCCUGGUCGCGGGGGAUAACGUCCUGAAACGGGCGCUAAUACCGCAUACGUACUGAGGGAGAAUGUGGGGGAUCUUCGGACCUCACGCUAUCAGAUGAGCAUAGGUCGGAUUAGCUAGCUGGUGGGGUUAAGGCGUACCAAGGGGACGAUCCGCAACUGGUAUGAGAGGGAGAUCAGGCACACUGGAACUGAGACACGGUCCAGACUCCGACGGGAGGCAGCAGUGGGGAAUAUUGGGCGAUGGACGAAAGCCUGAUCCAGCCAAGCCGCGUGUGUCAAGAAGGUCUUAGGAUGGUAAAACACUUUAAGUUGGGAGGAAGGGAAGUAAGUUAAUACCUUGCUGUUUUGACGUUACCAACAGAAUAAGCACCGGCUAACUUCGUG
rnacentral:rRNA from 1 species